rnacentral:rRNA from 1 species
UACAGAGGUGGCAAGCGUUGUUCGGAAUUACUGGGCGUAAAGGGCGCGUAGGCGGCCUUCUAAGUCAGACGUGAAAUCCCCCGGCUUAACCUGGGAACUGCGUCUGAUACUGGGAGGCUUGAGUGCGGGAGAGGGAUGCGGAAUUCCAGGUGUAGCGGUGAAAUGCGUAGAUAUCUGGAGGAACACCGGUGGCGAAGGCGGCAUCCUGGACCGACACUGACGCUGAGGCGCGAAAGCGUGGGGAGCAAACAGG